rnacentral:rRNA from 1 species
UGAACGCUGGCGGCAGGCCUAACACAUGCAAGUCGAACGGUAACAGGAAGCAGCUUGCUGUUUCGCUGACGAGUGGCGGACGGGUGAGUAAUGUCUGGGAAACUGCCUGAUGGAGGGGGAUAACUACUGGAAACGGUAGCUAAUACCGCAUAACGUCGCAAGACCAAAGAGGGGGACCUUCGGGCCUCUUGCCAUCGGAUGUGCCCAGAUGGGAUUAGCUAGUAGGUGGGGUAACGGCUCACCUAGGCGACGAUCCCUAGCUGGUCUGAGAGGAUGACCAGCCACACUGGAACUGAGACACGGUCCAGACUCCUACGGGAGGCAGCAGUGGGGAAUAUUGCACAAUGGGCGCAAGCCUGAUGCAGCCAUGCCGCGUGUAUGAAGAAGGCCUUCGGGUUGUAAAGUACUUUCAGCGGGGAGGAA